AUACGUAGGUGGCAAGCGUUGUCCGGAAUUAUUGGGCGUAAAGCGCGCGCAGGCGGUCUUUUAAGUCUGAUGUGAAAGCCCACGGCUCAACCGUGGAGGGUCAUUGGAAACUGGAGGACUUGAGUGCAGAAGAGGAGAGCGGAAUUCCAUGUGUAGCGGUGAAAUGCGUAGAGAUAUGGAGGAACACCAGUGGCGAAGGCGGCUCUCUGGUCUGCAACUGACGCUGAGGCGCGAAAGCGUGGGGAGCGAACAGGAUUAGAUACCCUGGUAGUCCACGCCGUAAACGAUGAGUGCUAAGUGUUAGAGGGCUACCACCCUUUAGUGCUGCAGCAAACGCAUUAAGCACUCCGCCUGGGGAGUACGGCCGCAAGGCUGAA
rnacentral:rRNA from 1 species